GACGAACCGUGCGAACGUUGUUCGGAAUCACUGGGCUUAAAGGGCGCGUAGGCGGGCUAUCAAGUCCGGGGUGAAAUCCUCCAGCUCAACUGGAGAACGGCCUCGGAUACUGAUGGUCUCGAGGAGGAUAGGGGCACACGGAACUGUGGGUGGAGCGGUGAAAUGCGUUGAUAUCCAUAGGAACUCCGGUGGCGAAAGCGGUGUACUGGAUCCUUUCUGACGCUGAUGCGCGAAAGCCAGGGGAGCAAACGGG
rnacentral:rRNA from 1 species